rnacentral:rRNA from 1 species
GACGAACGCUGGCGGCGUGCUUAACACAUGCAAGUCGAACGGAAAGGCCUCUUUCGGGGGGUACUCGAGUGGCGAACGGGUGAGUAACACGUGAGUAACCUGCCCUUGACUUUGGGAUAACUUCAGGAAACUGGGGCUAAUACCGGAUAGGAGCUCCUGCUGCAUGGUGGGGGUUGGAAAGUUUCGGCGGUUGGGGAUGGACUCGCGGCUUAUCAGCUUGUUGGUGGGGUAGUGGCUUACCAAGGCUUUGACGGGUAGCCGGCCUGAGAGGGUGACCGGCCACAUUGGGACUGAGAUACGGCCCAGACUCCUACGGGAGGCAGCAGUGGGGAAUAUUGCACAAUGGGUGGAAGCCUGAUGCAGCAACGCCGUGUGCGGGAUGACGGCCUUCGGGUUGUAAACCGCUUUCGCUCAUGACGAAGCUUUGUGUGACGGUAGUGGGUAAGGAAGCACCGGCUAACUACGUG